rnacentral:lncRNA from 1 species
CUUCAUCACCAUGGCAACAGCCUUAUCUGCCGCCCUAGAGCCUUUUCCCUAUAACAGUGAAAUCAACAAUGACUGUGUCAGGAGAGAUCUUUAACUUAUUAUUUAUUACAAGAUAUUCUAAUGUUUAAAGAGCAAUCCAACAUAAAUGAAGAGAACAUAAGAAACAGCAUACACAAUACUGGACAUCACAGGACCCUCUCCGGCUGGAUACCAGGCUGUAGAACCACCAGAUGCUUCAGAUGAGAAAGGUUGGAUCUGUUUCACAGGGAAGGGGCUAAACUGUUUCAAGAGGCGACCACGCGCUGGGCACUCUGUACUUUGCAACCUACCAAGUAUCAUCACAAGAGCUAUGAAAGUGAAGAGAGACAUACGUUAUCUAAGAAUCUGAGAGAGAUGACUCAGUCAGCAUCCUCUCUCUUGGUGUACAAUGGUAGGGACAGCUACUGUGUCAUCUGGAGCAUGACAAUGAGAACACAGACACUGGAUCGUCCUGAUAUAGCCUGCAGUCCAUCUGGGCCUCUAGACAUUCAUUUGCAUUUGCAUUCAUGCGCAUCCCCUACUACUCCAACUCCUACACCUUUUGGCAGGAUAUAUCCACACAGCUGGAUUGGAAUCACAAGAUGUUUUUAUUUUUUGCCUCAUUAAACUAGUUUCUCUCAA